GCCGGCUUAGCUCAGUUGGUAGAGCAGUGGUUUUGUAAACCGAAGGUCGGGGGUUCAAGUCCCUCAGCCGGCACCA
rnacentral:tRNA from 3 species